GGCAAAUUAUCCUCAUAAGUUCAACAACAAGAGGUGCCUACUGUUUUAAAUCUAAAAUUUAAUUAUAGUAAGGUUAAGUAAAUCGGAGGCCCCGACUGUUUACUAAAAACACAAGAAAAAGCAAACACGAAAGUGAUAGUAUUUUUUCUGACAUUUGCCCGAUGCCAUUAAUAUAAAAAAGGUCAUUGAAAGAUGUGACUAAUUGAAAGUCUGGUUAAUAGCGGUCUUAACCAUGAGGAUCCUAAGGUAGCAAAAUCAGUUGGCCAUUAAAUGUGGUCCGGUAUCAAUAAUCUAACGAUGGUCUCACUGUCUCUACAACUUGCUCAGUGAAAUUGAAUUACCCGUGAAGAUGCGGGUUAUCUUCAGAGGGACGGGAAGACCCUAUGCAGCUUCUACUG
rnacentral:rRNA from 1 species